AUUGAACGCUGGCGGCAGGCCUAACACAUGCAGGUCGAGCGGAUGACGGGAGCUUGCUCCUUGAUUCAGCGGCGGACGGGUGAGUAAUGCCUAGGAAUCUGCCUGGUAGUGGGGGACAACGUUUCGAAAGGAACGCUAAUACCGCAUACGUCCUACGGGAGAAAGCAGGGGACCUUCGGGCCUUGCGCUAUCAGAUAAGCCUAGGUCGGAUAAGCUAGUUGGUGGGGUAAUGGCUCACCAAGGCGACGAUCCGUAACUGGUCUGAGAGGAUGAUCAGUCACACUGGAACUGAGACACGGUCCAGACUCCUACGGGAGGCAGCAGUGGGGAAUAUUGGACAAUGGGCGAAAGCCUGAUCCAGCCAUGCCGCGUGUGUGAAGAAGGUCUUCGGAUUGUAAAGCACUUUAAGUUGGGAGGAAGGGCAGUAAGCUAAUACCUUGCUGUUUUGACGUUACCGACAGAAUAAGCACCGGCUAACUCUGUGCCAGCCGCCGCUGUAACAC
rnacentral:rRNA from 1 species